UCCGGCAAUCCUUCCAUCUUUUCCAAGUAGCUGGGACUGCAGGUUUCCAGUGAGAAAUUCCCUAAUUCAGUGUUUAAAUUGGACUUUUACAUGGACUUCUUUGUAUAGGUGUGGCAUUGUAACAAAGGAAGUGGCUUGGUGUCUUUGAUAACCUCAUUUGGCUCCAGCAGAGUUCUUUGAGAUAAGUCCCUUGCAAGCUGGAUGUAUUCCAAAAGUGUGCAAACCAUAUUAUGCUUCUUGAGUCCUUUGCACUCUGAAGUUCCCUGUGAGGGAACAUCGAAAAUCUAGCAAGCCAGUCAGAUGUCCCCUCUCAGAAGACAUAAAGAGAUUGCUGGUGAUUAUACUGGACAUACUUACGCAAGCACAAGUUUUUCAAAAAUGUAUAUUUCCUUGAAGUUUUCCAUUCAAAUUGUGUAAAAAUGCAAAUAAACACAUGGAAUAUAUAAUGAGAUAUAUGUAAAAAAAAAUGAGCUGGUGUUAUGUAGAAAGAGGAUAUAUGAAGUGCUUUCAUGAUGGUGCACAGACUUGGCAAUGAGUUACAUAUUGUUAAUGUGGGAGGAAGAGAACAAGGGUUUACUAUCUGUUCAAAUAGGUGGUCGAUGUCCAACAAAUUUCUAUUGCACAACAUGUAUCAGUGAACCUACAAUGCACUUUGAGGACUGUUUCACACAUUACCAUAUUUGAGAAAAAUAUAAGAUAUAAACUUU